rnacentral:tRNA from 1 species
GCCCGGGUGGCUCAGUCGGUUGAGCGUCUGACUUUGGCUCAGGUCAUGAUCUCGCGGUCCGUGAGUUCGAGCCGUGCGUCGGGCU